CCGUCUUCCCCUGCAGUCUCCCAGAUUAGGUUUUCUCUAAUUUUCAAAAUUUUCAUUUACAGUAUCAGUAGUUGUUCGUAUGCGCAGCCCUUAAGAUCGCCUUCCACUGCCAUCCAUGGAAGCGUUUCGAGUCAUAGCAGCGCUAUAUCAAUUUAAUACACGCUCACUCAUACUAUAUAUACAUUUUUGUGUUAUAUAUGUUUUUGUUUGAGUGUGUUUUAUGGGUUUCACCUUAAGGGUUUUCCUUUUGGGGAACCCGUUUAUCCCAUCUGGUGUAAUUGGCAUUUCAAAUUGAUUUGGAUCCAUAAUUCUCAUAUAGUUUUCGAGCUCCGUCUGAUUUUGUAAAUUAUAGAGUUUUAUAGAUCUAAAAUUACAUUACGAAUGCCUCCGUUAAGAUGGGAGACACCCUUCGAAUUUUACCAUUUCUGAUUCUUUUGAUUAUUGAUUGUUUGUGGCAAGGAUGAUGAUACAAUUAGAUGCCUGAGAGGGAUGAUGAAAUCAUAAUACAAUUAGAGGGUAAAAUGAAAGACCCUUCUCCUCCUAGUGGCCAGGCUAAUGCAACACAAAGACCCUUCUCCUCCUAGUGGCCAGGCUAGUGCAACUCGCAACUAGUAAGAAUUCGUUAUCGAGGACCGAUGCCGCACCAAAACUGGUAAGUUGAGAUCCAAAAUGGCAAAAAGGCACAGGUUGGGGACAAAGUUACGAAUCAAUAGAUUGGAUCAAAAUAGAAGAUGCGAAGUUUUGAAAACAUUUAUUACUUAAAAGGGCCAAUAUUUAGCCCAUUGCUUUCACGAAGUCCGAAUCCAGAAUAAACCCUAAUUCACAUUCAUCUUUCCCAUCCAUCUCUAUUUAUUCGUCGCUCGUCUUCUUUGUUUGAAAACCCUAGCUCUGCUAGAUUCUCUUUUGGUGUGUAUAUGAUUUUGUUUUUCCAUUGAAUUGUGUUAUGCGUCUGAUAGAAGACAAGAAAUUAUUGCGAGCAAGUUCAGCUUCUUGACUGGAUCCCGGUAAAAUCAACGAUCCAGCCAAUUAUUUUACUCAUAACUUGCGAUAAUAAUUUGCCAGUAUCACUCUCCUGAAUUUGUUACUGAAAUUUCAGGCCCUUUAUCCUACUGGCACAUUUUUUCUAAUUUUCUGCCUUAUAUUUUCUUUAUCCAAAAUUUGUGAGAUGUGAUAUUAGAAUUCGUAAUUUUUGGUAGAUUGUAGAUGAUUUGGUGUUACUGGUUGAAUUGAAUUGUGAGCAAACGCACUCUGUCCCUAAACCGUCCAGCAAUGGGCUAAUGUUUUGAGGCAAUUUCUUCGUUUGCGAAAUUAAUAAUGUUCCAAUUUACUCGUCCAUUCGAUCUGUAUUUCGUGAUCUCUAUGGGCACAUGACUGGACUACAUAUAAGAGAAUCAUUUUUAUCACA